rnacentral:tRNA from 1 species
AAAUAGAAAGCGAAUUAUUGCAUUCAGUUUCGACCUGAAAAUUGGUUUUCAACCUCUAUUUU